UUUAACGGCCGCGGUACCCUAACCGUGCCAAGGUAGCAUAAUCACUUGUUCUUUAAAUGGGGACUCGUAUCAACGGCAUCACGAGGAUCCUACUGUCUCCCCCCUCUAAUCGGUGAAACUGAUCUCUCCGUGAAGAAGCGGAGAUGUACAUAUAAGACGAGAAGACCCCAUGGAGCUUUAAACCCAACAACACCCGCCCCCCUCCAAAUCCUAUUAUUUACCCGGUGAUUGUUUGUUUGGUUUUAGGUUGGGGUGACCGCGGAGUAUAAGAUAUCCUCCAUGAAAAAAAGCUAACUGCCCUUAUUAGAGAAAGACACUUCCAAAAAAUAAUAAAUUAAUUUUAAAUGAUCCGAUAUUCGAUCAACGAACCAAGUUACCCUGGGGAUAACAGCGCAAUCCGUCCCGAGAGCCCCUAUCGACAGGCGGGUUUACGACCUCGAUGUUGGAUCAGGGUAUCCUAGUGGUGCAGCAGCUACUAAAGGUUCGUUUGUUCAACGAUUAAAACCCU
rnacentral:rRNA from 1 species